rnacentral:tRNA from 1 species
ACAGCGGUGGUUCAGUGGUAGAAUUCUUACCUUCCACGCCUGAGACCCGGGUUUGAUUCCUGGCCAAUGCA